GGGCCCGCACAAGCGGUGGAGCAUGUGGUUUAAUUCGACGCAACGCGAAGAACCUUACCUGGGCUCGAAAUGUACAGGAAUCCGGUAGAAAUACCGGCGUCCCGCAAGGGACCUGUAUAUAGGUGCUGCAUGGCUGUCGUCAGCUCGUGUCGUGAGAUGUUGGGUUAAGUCCCGCAACGAGCGCAACCCUUACCUCCAGUUGCUACCAUUUAGUUGAGCACUCUGGCGGAACCGCCUCGGAUAACGGGGAGGAAGGUGGGGAUGACGUCAAGUCCUCAUGGCCUUUAUGUCCAGGGCUACACACGUGCUACAAUGGCCGGUACAAACCGUCGCAAACCCGUGAGGGGGAGCUAAUCGGAAAAAGCCGUCCUCAGUUCGGAUCGCAGUCUGCAACUCGACUGCGUGAAGCUGGAAUCGCUAGUAAUCGCGGAUCAGAAUGCCGCGGUGAAUACGUUCCCGGGCCUUGUACACACCGCCCGUCACAUCACGAAAGUGGGUUGCACUAGAAGCCAGUGAGCUAACCGCAAGGAAGCAGCUGUCCAAGGUGUGAUUCAUGAUUGGGGUGAAGUCGUAACAAGGUAGCCGUAGGAGAACCUGCGGCU
rnacentral:rRNA from 1 species